rnacentral:lncRNA from 1 species
ACCAGCUUAAAUUUUAUCAGUUUUCUCUUUACUCAGGUCGGUUUCUUCGUUCUCAGAAAGUUGUUAAUGGAGUCAAAAGAAAGAGAAGACGAAAAAGGAAACACUAUUUCAGCAGAAAAGCAAAAAAAAGAUGACACUAUAGAAAGUAUUCUUGUUGGUCGCUGUUUCGGCCUUGUCCAGUUAUGUAAGAUUGUUAUGGAAAGUGUAAAAAAUUUGAGUGUAAGAGCAACAGGGUAAGAAAUUGUCCAGCUGGAUCUGGAAUCGGUUAUGAUAACGGAAUCGAUGUUGCCGUAGCAAAAAUGUUUGAAAGAAGUCGCUGUAAUAUAUAUAUAUUAUAUAUAUAUUGAGUGGGAUAAUGCUCAAAAAAAAGUGACUGUUAUAUUAUAAAUUAAAAUGGUAGAAUCUUGGAGAAAAAAGAAAUACCUCUUUAAAUAGGUGCCUAUUUACAUUCAUUGCAGCCAAGAUUCUUGUUUUCCAUAUCAAAUGCAUUUCAAAAUGUACGUUGUCUGUUUGACACCAAAUCGGUUUUAUUAUGUGAACUUUUUGUAUAAUUGUUUAUAAAAUUAUAAAAUUGUUUGUUAUAUGAGAA